UGGAUGUGCAUAUCGCAGCAUUUGAGUGCAACGCGCCAUCCAAUAUCUAGGUAGUGUGCUGCUGCUGCUGCUACGUAAGCAGUCAGUCGGUGAAGCACAAUGGCGAUUCCUAAACUGCUAAAUGCGCAAAUUUCGUGCUCAUGAGUUCAAAAAUGGUGGUGCUGCUGCUAGGCGGACGUGAGUGUGCAUUCGGAUAAGGUGUUUUUGACGUGAAUAUGAGCGUGAUUUUUCUGCUCGCAAAAGAAUUAUAUUAACUCACAUUGCCGUGCUACCUCCAGAACCUAAUCAUUUAUUGAUCUUUACACUUCUGUACACUUACGGAUGCAAUGUUUUACGAUAUUCAAUGUACUUACCCGUUUUUAUGGUUUGAUGCUGUCUUUGGAAAGCAUGCGGUAGUAAAGAUCUGCAGUUAGUGUUGCGUGUCGUGGGUGAAAAAAUAUUACGGAAGCCCAAUUGAAAAUUGCAAAAGAGAAAUUUCGUUAACAAGAAUCGAGAAGCUAUUGGAGCAAUUGGAGUAAAGAAGAUGCCGGGAAGUUGUUUGAAGUGUAAUCAGCCGGUCAGUUGCUAAUACGUUGCUUAAUACGACUGUAAAGGAUGGAUUCAAUUCCAUGAGGAUGUAUCUUCCAUACUCCACAAAUCCUCAGACGCAAACAGUGCGUUGAUUGACAUUGAAUUUCAGCCCUGGGUUUGCUCUUAUGUUCUCAACACCUUCAGAUGCAGGUUUCGUUCCUUGAUUCCCUUACGACGCUUGCUAAGUUCCUGUCGAUCGAUAGUGUGCCGUUCACGGAAAUGUUUGAGCACGCUUCAUACGAUUGAUUAAUCCAACGACAAUUUUUGAACCUGCUGUUAACAUAAACUAGAUGGUAUUCUAGCAGAGAAGUGGCUGUGGUUCCAUCUGUUCAUGCAUGGGAGCUCAAAGAAAGACAGCUUGCUCAAGAAAAAAUGAAGCUGGACUAGACGACUAGCUGAUGAAGCAAUAUUCCAAGAAAGGAAACGUUUGUGCUUCUGGUGAAGCUUGAAGCGUUCGUCGGCGGUGAUCAAGAAGGAGCUGCCUUCAUUCAAGAACCUUCCCAGCUAGCAUUUUCAUAUGUAUAAAAUUGUAAAAAUCAGCAUUACG